rnacentral:rRNA from 1 species
GAUGAACGCUGACAGAAUGCUUAACACAUGCAAGUCUACUUGAACUUCGGUUUGGGUGGCGGACGGGUGAGUAACGCGUACAGAACUUACCUCACAGUUAGGGACAACAUUUGGAAACGAAUGCUAAUACCUGAUAUUAUGAUUUUAGGGCAUCCUAAGAUUAUGAAAGCUAUAUGCGCUGUGAGAGAGCUUUGCGUUCCAUUAGCUAGUUGGAGAGGUAACGGCUCACCAAGGCGAUGAUGGGUAGCCGGCCUGAGAGGGUGAACGGCCACAAGGGGACUGAGACACGGCCCUUACUCCUACGGGAGGCAGCGGUGGGAAAUAUUGGACAAUGGACCAAGAGUCUGAUCCAGCAAUUCUGUGUGCACGAUGACGUUUUUCGGAAUGUAAAGUGCUUUCAGUUGGGAAGAAAAAAAUGACGGUACCAACAGAAGAAGUGACGGCUAAAUACGUG